UAGACGGGAGGAGUAGGGAAGGAUAAUAAAUUGUCUAUCUAUGGCCCUUCUCUACUCUUCCCGUCUAAACUUUAAACU